CAGUCACGAAGAAGUGGUAAGCUCGCGUGUUUCUAUUUCAGGCAACGACCCACAUCGAGAAUUUUUUCCGCCGUACUGACUUGAUGCAAAAAUUUUAAUGAAGUGUUGGCUACAUGAAACAAAAAAGCGAAUAUGGCAGGGGGUAUUCGUUGACAGAAGACAGAACCCCUAGCAGCGUCAACCAAGAUGGCCGCAUACUUUUAACCCGGAUGUAGCCGUUAGUCGAGAUUCUAUUCGUAUUUUUAUCGAUUGCUCAACACUCUACGAAAGGAGGUCAAUGUUUUCAGUCGAGGUUAUACACGCGGUUGAAGAUGACAUCACCGCCGCAUAGUAUGCGUGACGCAAUCGGUUGUGGCAACGUCAUGUUUCAACUUAGGCACACCCAAAUAUUAAAAAAUUUUACGUUUAUACCAUUUUAUGGAACGUUUACUAGUUCAUGCAUGUUUUUGAAUUAUAACUAGGUUAAAUUGAUUAUAAUUCGAAUUAGUCUGAACCAAAUAAGACAAUUCAAAUCCAG